rnacentral:rRNA from 1 species
CAGCAGCCGCGGUAAUACGGAGGGAGCUAGCGUUGUUCGGAAUUACUGGGCGUAAAGCGCACGUAGGCGGCUACUCAAGUCGGGGGUGAAAGCCCGGGGCUCAACCCCGGAACUGCCCUCGAAACUAGGUAGCUAGAAUCUUGGAGAGGUCAGUGGAAUUCCGAGUGUAGAGGUGAAAUUCGUAGAUAUUCGGAAGAACACCAGUGGCGAAGGCGACUGACUGGACAAGUAUUGACGCUGAGGUGCGAAAGCGUGGGGAGCAAACAGGAUUAGAUACCCCGGUAGUCCCUGUCUCUUAUAC